rnacentral:misc_RNA from 1 species
ACUCAGGUAAAUAUCCGUCUUGAUACCGAAACAACAGGUGCGAUGACAAGUUAUCGAUUUUCGUAAAAAUAUCGAAGAAAGGACAAACACGGGGGUGGAUUUUGGCACACUUUUAUCUAUCAUGUAACAAAAGGAUACAAAAAGAAAGAUGAGAUCGUUUUUAUUGUUUUUGGUGGGUACUCUGAUCGCCGCGUCAGUGGCAGCUGACGAUGGAUGUCCUGUAAACUGUAAUUGUAAUCAAACCAACGUCAAGUGUCAUGGAUACAACUCUGUGCCGCAACAGUUUAGAAGUUUUUCAAUAAUCAAAGUUUUCGAUUUGUCCAACAACAAUCUGACCUCUCUAUCCAAAACAGAUUUCGCAAAAUUUGUGAACAUCGAAAAGUUGAGCUUGGAGGGAAACUCCAUUACCAACAUCGAAAAAGGGAGCUUCUCGUCGCUUCACCGAUUGCGAAUGUUAAACAUUUCAACCAACAAAUUAGAAAGCAUAGAGGACGGUGUAUUUUGUAACCUGACCUCGUUAACGACCCUUAUUCUAAACAAUAACUACAUCUCUAAUCUUUCUUUGGAUGUUUUUCAUAAUGUUCCUAACUUACAACGACUAGAUUUGUCCCUGAAUAGAAUCUACUCUUUUAGUUCCUGUUCGUUGAUACUUCCGAGUUUGCGCUAUCUGAAUCUGGACAAUAACAGUCUGGCUACGAUUCCAUCGCACAUUUUUAACUGCACUCCACAUCUUCAAAAGUUGCGAUUGAAUUUGAAUAGAAUACGACACCUACAGAAAUACAGUUUUUCAAAUGUCCCCAACAUCUCAAGUGUUAGUUUGGACAACAACUUAAUUCGCAUACUUGACAUCGAGACUUUCGAGGUUAAACAUCAGAACCUUAACACACUUCUGGAAUGUAAAAUCAAGGUAUUCUCUAUCGCAGGGAAUUUUCUCACCGAAGUACCAAAUGCAUUGAAUGACCUCGUCUAUGUGGGUCAUCUCGACAUAAGCGACAACAAUAUCCAAACCAUUAGAACACUGGCAUUUGACCGCCUCAGAUACUUGCGUUAUCUUCGAAUAUCAGAAAUGCCACUUCUUAGUAAAGUAGAUGUAGAUGCAUUUGGAGGCCUGAAUCUCAGAGAUAUAUUUAUGACCAGAAACCCAAUGUUGAAAGAGCUACCCGGAAAUCUCUUGCAAAACAUGGGGGAGCUGCGCACUGUAGUGCUAAACAACAAUGGUCUGGUGACUCUCCCGAAAAGUUUGUGCAACUGGCAACAGUUAAUGGACGUCAUGCUAAAUGACAACAAUUUUAUCUGUUCCUGUAGCAACAGUUGGCUUCAGUCAUAUCGAGGCUGGGAUACCCCUCAAACUCAGCAACACGUCAAGAAGUUAAAAUGCCAUAGACCAAAUAACCCCGAUGACUUUCUCAUCAAAGACUAUGAUUUCAGCCGCCUCUCCUGUAUGAGUCUCGGAUCGGCAGUGUCUACUAAAUCACGGGUUCUUGUCGGACUGAUAGCUGCCACUUUAACGUUGUUGGCACUUUCCGUUAUUUUAUUCAUCGUUCGCUACCGGAAGCGGUUGGUAUUCCGGUACAGACAAUUCAAGUACAGGCGCCACACCGACUCCGCAUUUACUAUAGAACCCAAGUACAGCGACCUAUCUACAAACGGUGAUCUCCAUGGAGACACUCCAAACACAAGAGACAAAGCUAAUCUUUUGACGUGAUUUAUUCAAAUCAUACUCUAAUGAUUGUCACUUCAUCUAGAAAUUUUUUAAUAGGAACAAUACCCAAAUCACUUUUAUCCUUUGAAAAGAAACACCACUACCAAUGAAAACGGACAUUGAUAUAACGAUCAAAGGAGCUUAAAUAGUUUAUCACGUGUCAAAAACUGAAACAGUUUACAAGUGUUCUGUAUAAACAUGCUUGCAAUUGCAACAUGUGGAAUAGACGCACCCGUUUUUCAUCUUAUUCGGCACAAGACGGGAAAAUAAUACAAUACUUUGGAAGGGUAAAACUUUAUUGUAUACCUGUAUAUCUUUAUUCAACUGAUUCUUACAAACAAUUACCUUGUAAUGCGAUUUUAAUGAUACACAUGAUUGUAUUGUGAUAUAAUAUGGUUAAUGAUAUAACAAGUAUAGCUUUUAAUUGUAUUCAACAAAACAAAAACCAACAAAAAAGUCGCAUAUCUCUCUUUGGAUUUUGUAUUUUGUUUGAACUAUGAUCUGUUUUGCUGAUUUAGUUUGAUUAUCAUCAUCUGAUUGAAUACGAUUUUUUACCACCUUAAACUGUAAACAUUCCCUUCACUUACAUUCGCAUGCUAAAUACUCGUUACUCAGUGGCGUAAAUUUGAGUGAACACCUUUUUAUUGCGUUUUACCAGUUUUUCUAGUACGUUGUAGCUACUUCUUUUUUAAGCAUGUGACAAACACAUUCCAUGCUUUUUACACAAACUUUCAUAUUUUAAAUAUAUCCUAUGUACAUAUGUGGAGGAAAAAUCCAGAAUAAAAGGGAAAUUAAAUCC